rnacentral:rRNA from 1 species
UACGGAGGGAGCGAGCGUUGUCCGAAGUUACUGGGCGUAAAGCGCGCGUAGGCGGGGAAUUAAGUGAGAAGUGAAAGGCUGGGGCUCAACCUCAUGCAGUGCUUCUCAUACUGGUUCUCUUGAGGGCGGUAGGGAGAAGUGGAAUGGCUGGUGUAGCGGUGAAAUGCGUAGAUAUCGGGAAGAACACCCGUGGCGAAGGCGGCUCUCUGGGACGGUACUGACGCUGAGACGCGAAAGCGUGGGGAGCGAACAGG